UACAGAGGUCUCAAGCGUUGUUCGGAUUCAUUGGGCGUAAAGGGUGCGUAGGUGGUGCUGUAAGUCAGGUGUGAAAUCUCGGGGCUCAACCCCGAAACUGCACUUGAUACUGCAGUGCUCGAGGACUGGAGAGGAGAUUGGAAUUCAUGGUGUAGCAGUGAAAUGCGUAGAUAUCAUGAGGAAGACCAGUGGCGAAGGCGGAUCUCUGGACAGUUCCUGACACUGAGGCACGAAGGCCAGGGGGAGCAAACAGG
rnacentral:rRNA from 1 species